CCUCUACUAUAUGGUACUGAGUAUUUUAACCAGUUCUAAAUUGGGGGGAAAGUGUCAUUCAUUGAAUCACCAACAUUAACUGUUGAGGACUCGUAUUUUUAUAUGAAUUGCUGGUUCCCUAUAUAUCCCUAUAAUGCUCACUGUUUAAUGUAAUGGCCUGAUUGUAAUGCUCAUGAAGGGAAAUGUGUUCUCUAUCAACAGGAAGAGAGAGAAUUUCCAACUUCUGAAGGUUACUCUUUUAGCAAUUCAUUUAAAUUCAAAAUUCAGACAGUCAAUUUACUAUUAUUGUGAAAGUCAUGCUUGCUGAAAUGAUAUAUAGUCUUGGAUAAGCACAGAGAAACCAGGCAUUUACAAUGCCAGUCAUCUUGAAAAAUACAUAACCGUGCUGUUAAAAAUGUCAUCAUUACAGUUUAGGCAGCCUGGCAGAAAAAAUAUUCAAGCACUAAAAUAGCUGGAAUCUGAAAGCUCACUGUGAGGCUGUCUCAUGUUGCUUUGCAGAUAAGUUGCUCCCUUCUGAGCUGAGCUGAGCUGAGCUGAGCUGGCUGGCUCUGUGGGGUUUCAAGCAGGAUCUUGAGGUGAUAAAUAGUAAUUAUUUGCUUGAGUUUCAGAUUGUGUUGCUGACUGAGAUUCUGGAGAUGCUAGAGAAACCCAUACACCAACUGGGCAGAAGACUAUUCACUUUUCCAGGUGGUGAGAACCUCUGAAGAGAUACUGAAUUGACUGUUGAAAUGUGGUUUUGUGGUGGAGCGAGUGCCAGCUGUUUUCUGGAAGUACAGUGUUGAUAUCCCUGCCAAUUAUCAAUCUAUUUCUAGCUUUCUUUUUCUGAGAUUGGAAAGAUGGCUGGGAAAGUUGCAGCAGUCCAGUUCUGGGGAUGUCAGUCCAGUUCUGGACCUUCAGAUUGCCUAGAUCAGGUCAGUCUAUUUACAGACUUAGGUAUGGCACAGAGCCCAGUCAACGAUAUUAGGUCAAUGAUCUCCUGCUGGGUGAAGUAGCCAUUAAGCCUGUACGAAGCGGCUAGUAUUUGCUUCAGAUUUGGCAGAUUCAGGGGCCAGUGAUUUGAUUUGGUGAUUCGAAUCACUGUCCUGAAUCAAUUCAGCUGAAUCUGAUUUAUAGAUUCAGCUGCCACCUGCUCAGCCCCAUGGAGCUCAGCCUGGUGGUGCGCAUCCCCGGCUCUCCCUGUCUCCCGCUGCUGGGCUGUGCUUCGCAGCCCCAUGGAGUGCAGCCCGGUGGUGGGAGGUGGGCAGAGCCAGGGCUGCGCUCUGAUUGGCUUCACCAGCCCCACGGACCUCAGCUUGGCAGCAGGAGAGAGGGAGAGCCAGGGCUGUGCUCUGCCUCCCACUGCCAGGCUGAGCCCCAUGGGGCUGCGGAGCUGCUCGGAGCACAGCCCUGGCUCUCCCCUGCCUCCCGUCACUGGGCUGCUUGGAAACUUGAAACAUUUUGAAACUUUCAAAAUGUUUUGAGUGCCUUCAUUUUAUUUUGAAACUGUUUCGAAGCUUUUUGUUUAAUUUCGAUUUCCUUGUUUCAAGCUCAAAACACCUUGAAACAGCUUUGAAAGGAAAAACUCGGAGAAAUUUCACACAGCUCUACUAGGCAAGGCUGAUAGAGCAGUGCUGAUGGGACAAAGGCUGAGCCCAGCUGCAAAGACUGAAUUGACUAACCUGCAAAGACUGAAUCGAUUAUGCUCGGGCUUUUUGACUCUCUAUACUUAGCCCUAGUGUCUGAAUCAGACGGGACUGAGUCCAUGGACUAGGGUUCAACUCAGAUACAGAUCAAGUUGAACCCUAGCAAAUAUUAUAUUUGUACCCCUAGCUAAGGGCUGCUUUUUUACCUAGCUUACUAGCAUAGGGGUCUUGUUCAGCACCUAUAUACAGUAGUAUAUGGCCAGGAAGUUGGUGAGGAUCUUCAUGGACUAGAGUUUAGAUAUGCAAGAGAGAAAAGUGAUGCAAGAUACUUCAUAUCAUGGACAUAGCUUAUUUGUUCUCCUGUAGGUUUUCUUUGGUCUGAGAUUAAUCAUAAUUAUGAAUAGUAAUAGCCAUAAUACCUACUUUUUCAUAUAUGCAAGUCAAAGCAAGUUUGUGUUUGAAGGCAGACUUUGAUAUUAGCAUUUUUCCACUGAAUUUAGAAGGUUUCUAUCAUUUAAUUUUGCAUAAUUUUAUACAUUCCUUCAAGUAUUAGUUUUUUUCAUAGUUAGCCAAAAAUGAUCAUUUUCCCCAAGAAUUUAUAUAAAAAGCUCAGUUCUGCAUGUUUGCAAUGUAUAGUUGCCUCCAAGUCAAAAAGGGGCCAAUUCUGUGCCAAGCAAAACUGCUUUUGCUAGUCAUUGGGGAAAUUAUCCUUGUUUGACUUUUACCUCAGAAAAAGUCUCUUUAUAUAGGGCAUCCAUUGUGUAUAUGCAUGAUAGGGAAGGGUGAGCUGAAGUAACACACAGAGAGAAAAAAAAGCUUGACAUUGAAGUAGCUCUGGCUUUCAUUGUAUUUCACAUAGUUUUGCCAUCAUGCUGCAUGCCAUUGUAUUGCAUACCCAUUGAACAAAUGGAGAGUGGUUUCUCUCUGAAGUUGAACUAAGCUGUCUCAGGUGCUGAUUCAGAUUGGAAAGUCACCUUGUCUUGUUACAUAUACACAUAAGCCUAUGCACCUCUCUCUCUCUCGCUUGCUGCUUUCCUCUUGGCCUUAUGUUGGCAUAAGCCAUAACAUAACGUGUGAAAACAUAGCAUAACAUAACAAAUGUGAAAAAAUCCUGCACCUCCAUAUUUAAUUAGAAAGCAAGUAUCCAAAUGGUCUUUGAAUUGCUGUUAAAUGCUGCAGAUAUUCAUGGUCUUUGAAUUGCAAUUAAAUGCUGCAGAUAUUCAUGAAUCUGAAGGGGAAUAGUGACGAAGAUAGUAUGUGAUACUGGGUAAAAUUCCAACAUUUAAAUAUUUAUUCUUAUUUCUCUAUAAGUUGCUGACAUUUAAGGAAAAGAGUCUACUUUACUAUUCCCAUUCAAUUUGCUUCAAAGAUUUAAUCACCAGGCCAUUAUCUUAUUGCUUUUUAAAUCAUAUCUAAUUUUAAACAAUGCUAAUGUAAAAGUGCAUGGAAGCAAACAUAUUGGUUGGCUAUACCUGCUCUUAUUAUAUAAGCUCUUAAUUAAUUCAUAAUACAUGUGACCUAAAGACUGGAAUAGACUGAAACAAGUGAAACAAUAUGGCUGUUUCCCUUGAAUUCAUUCCCUGGUGGUGUGUGCAUCAGUGUUGUCAUUUACUAGCAGGGAAUACAGUCAAUGAUAUGACUUCAUUUUGACAUUUAAAGUCCUAUCGGCAAGCAAAGUAUGGCUGAUGCUGGUCUAACUUCACUGAUUUUACAUCACAGUUACUUGACAGAAUUCAGUAGAAUUUCUCAUGAUUUACACCAGAAAAUGGUUCUCAAUCAGAUCUAAUAUUUUCUACUUUAAAGGUAUAGCUGAACUCCAGGUAAAUACACAGGGGUCCACUGUGGCUUUUAAAAGUAGCCUUUGCUGAACAGGAAGUCACCUCCUCUCCAUCACCCCUGACACCAGUAUCUCUCUGAGACAAUUUAGCUGCACAAAUGCUGUGGUGGACAGAUGGACUAGAGUAGUAGAGACCUGAGCAACAGCUGCUACAUCCUCUGUGAAGGUGCCAUGUGCAGUUCCCCAGUGCUGGACUUGAAUCUAACAGUUGGUGUAGGAGGGCAGAAGGGCCAUCCUAUGGCCCUGUCAUGUGCCUUGUGACACUGAUGGCAAUGUGGCCUCUCUCUGUUCUGAACUACAGCAUUGAAAGGACUGAGGUUAUGAUUACCUCUUGUGGGAUGCACAAAAGCUGAGAGGACAAAUGUUUGCCUUCUUUUUUCUCUCUGCACCAAUACAGGGACUGGCUCUAUGCUGAGCCUUGAACUCUGAUUAGCAAACUUAGCACAAUUCUGUGGCUCUUCUAAAAUUUCUAUGCCUUUUUGACAAAGGGAGUGCUCAGGAUGCUACACUUAGGAAUGGCAAAGUGCUUUAUGAUUGCUUCACUUCAAAAUAUAAUCACCUCCUUGUAAGGUAUUCUGUAUACCAAGACGAGGGUACAGUAUGACAAGGGCAAAUGGUUCUAGGAAUAGCACCAUGGGCUUAAUGAUGAACAGCAGUGCUUAGCAUGGUAAAAUUGGACACUAACAGACAUGGAAAAAACCUCCACAGCGCUUUCCUAGAAGAGGUAUCACAUCAGUUUGACCCACCUCUCCAGUGUCUGUACGGCUUGUGUGCUUCAGCAGGGCUUUUGGGCACUCUUAUCUAAUAGCUGAUACAAUGAAUAAGGUGACAAGUACUGAAUAGUUUCCUUUUCAUUCUGGCCCUUAGAGUAAAAACAUAAUAGUUAAGGUAAUUGCGCACCCCUCACAGGACUUCACAAAGGUUACCAAUUAUUGUCAUUUAGGCUAUAGUUAGUCUCCUAUUGUUCUCUUUCAAUACCUGGAGAUGAACAAAAUGAGACUGAUAGAAAAAAAAGAUAGGAGAUUUGUAAAGUAAUCAUGUCUGUUUUGUGUUUGGCAUAAAUUUGUUACAAUACAUAGAUAUAUGUCUCUUGUCUUUUAGAUUUUUUCUCCUUUCUGUCUCAGAAGCUAGAGAGGCAUAUAUAGACCUUUAUUAAUUUUAAUAAAAAACUACUUUGCCAUGAUAGCCAGAGCAAGCAUUACCAUGUGCACACACAAUUGUCAUGGUUAGUUAACACACUUUACUAAUGCUGAUGAAGGAAAGAAAAGACACCUGUACCUUGGAGAAACUACUUAGGGGAAACAUCUACAUGAAAUGUUUGCUGUGGUUGUCUAAUUAGCUCCACAGUAAAGCCUCAGCGUCUACGGUGCGAUCAUAUUAGGCUGCAGUAAACUAAAAAACACCACCAUAGGUUAGUACUUGUAAACAGAAGUCCUAUCCUAUGGCAACAUUAUUUAGUGCAUUGCAAAGUAUGUGUAGAUGCUGACAGGGCUUGUUACCAGCUGUCUGCUGGCUAGCUCUGCACUGGAGUACCCUCAUGCCCCAGCCAGCCCUUCUGCAGCACAUUGAACCAGGUCAGAGCAGCCCUGGGCUGGCAGGCUGAACCCCCAGGUCCCCUGCCAGCUGGGGCUGCUCUGACCCAGCAAAAUGUGCUGCAGUCCCAGGCACAUAUGUAAAUGUGGCACCUGGGAGCAAUAAACUCCAGUCCAAAUUGAACUGGAGUUUAUUCAAUCACAUUAAUAGCGCAUGUAGACAUGCCCAGAGAUCCAGUACUAAUACGAGCUGAAGCUUAUAACGCAAAAAGCAGCUAUAUAUACAGCUAGAGUAGCUUAAUUCUUAAACUCCAACAAAUCAUUGUUCCAGGCAUAUGGGAAGAAAGACAUAGAAGCAGUAGUUUAAUUGGGUUAUAACAUUAUAAACUCAUCUGGUGAUUAUCCAGUGAUAACUUUUGGAAUGCAAGUCAUGAUCUUUCCGUAAUUGUUUGCUAUUAGUUUCUCCUUCUUCCACAGCUGGUCACCUAGCCUGCUGCUAGGACCCCUCUGCCCUCUCUUCAGAUGAAGGGCAAGGGAUUGAGGAAACAUGGCUGUCUCAGCCCUAGUCCUAGCUCCAUCUCUGAGUGCCUUUAGAAGAUGCCUUUCUUCAGUCAAUUUCUAGUUCUAAUUUAGCAGGGAACUGACUCCCCAUGGAAUAAAUAUCUGCAUUGGAUACCAGCACUCAUCCCUAGCAUGUUCCCAAAGAAACAGCAAUUCCAUCCCUAGCCCAACAUAUUUUUGCCUGCCAAGGAGAGUAAAAGGGGUAUCAGCUGGUCCCAGACCCUGUCUCUGGUGCCAUGCCAACUCAUAUUUGCCUCAACAUAGAAGCCCAGCUGUGAAUCCACAGCUGAACUGGCCACCUGCCAGCAAGCCCAAUGUGCAGUACUUUCCCAACAGAGCCAAACACCUGUUCUCAUGCCCUGUUUCCUUGUUUCCCAUAACAUGACCUUUGACCUGUGCCAACCUGGAGCUGCCUUAUCACUGAAGCCCAGCAUAAGCCAAGAGAAACCAUCUACACAUCUGUGGGCCGUAUGCACUGUAACAUGCCUGUACAACUUAGAAGAGUUCAGCAAACCGAAUUCUACCCCACAACAGGGACUUCCAAGUGACUAUGCAGAUAUUGAAACCAGCACAGAACCUUACCAACUCCCAGUACAAGAUCAAAGUGGCACAGCACAUGUGGGCUCAGUGUGCAGCACCAGAAACUGGAGCCUGACUGACACUCUGGCUCCUGGUCAAGCUCUGAGUGGCCACAUUGAUGCCACAACUGCCCCAGAAGGCCCCCAGGACCCCAGAAGACUUGCCUAAAGCCAGCUCCUGGGCAGGGUCAUUGUUUGCUGAAGAAUGGAAUGGUUUGUUCUUGAAAGCUGUUAAGUGGCACCUUUAGGACUGAGCCCUACUGUUUUAAAUCAGUGAUUUUCAACUUGUGGCCCAUGGAUGAGGAAAAGGCUGAAGUACUCAAUGCCUUUCUUACUUCGAUCUUCACAGGCCAGGUCAGGUCCCAGACUACUACACCUGGCAACAUAGUUUGGGGAGGAGGUCAGCAGCCCUCAAGAGUGAAAGAACAGAUUAGGGACUAUUUAGAAAAGCUGGACAUGUAUGAAUUCAUGGGGCCAGAUGCGAUGCAUCUGAGGAUGUUGAGGAAGUUGGCUGAUGUGAUUGCAGAGCCACUGACCAUUAUCUCUGAGAACUUGUGGUGACUGGGGGAGGUCUCAGACAAUUGGAAAAGGGAAAAUAUUGUGCCCAUCUUUAAGAAAGGAAAGAAGGAGGAUCCAGGGAACUACAAGCCUGUCAGCCUCACCUCAGUCCCCAGAUAAAUCAUGGAGCAGGUCCUCAAGGAAUCCAUUUCUAAGCACUUGGAGGAGAAGUAAGUGAUCAGGAAGGGUCAGCAUGGAUUCACCAAGGGGAAGUCAUUCCUGACCAACCUGAUUGCCUUCUAUGAUGAGAUGACUGGCUCUUUGGAUGCAAGAAAAGCAAUGGAAAUGAUAUACCUUGACUUCACCAAGCCUUCUGAUAUGGUCUCCCACAGCAUUCUUGCAAACAAGAAGAAGAGAGUCUGAGCUGGAGAAGAGAUUCAGGGCAUGAGGAAGUCCAACUAGCACUACGUGGGAUCCUGGCAAAUGCAGCUGCGAAGAAACCUUGGGAGCCCUGAAAAUCCCAACUCCAUGAUUGUCUGGUGGCAAGGACUUUGCAAGUCUACGUGCUGCUACAGAGUUGGCAAUCUGAAAGAUAUGAGAGCUCAGACUAACCUAGAGUUAAGAGACUGGAAGCCUUGACCCCAAAGCCUCCCUCCAGGAGGAUUGAUAUACUUCUGGGACAGGGAAUUGGCAAGUUUUAUCAAACCUAUUUCUUUUUUUCUCCUGAUUUGUGCCUCUUGAGUCAACAAAUUAGGGCUGACACCACAAUAAGAAACAGUGCUUGCUCCUGUGAAUUGUGACUCUGAAGCUUUGUUGAUUAUUGUGUUUCUUUGUGCAAUACCUACUGAAUAUUUUGCUGCUGCACAACACAGAAAUUUGGAAUGGAAAUCUUCAGUGAAAUUUCAGUUUUACUGUAUUUUAUUUUGGGAGUGGAUCUGCUGUUGAUGUACAGCAUUCCCCAGUAGAAAUAAAUUGCACUCAAAGACUUCCAAGCAGCAAUAAUAUAUAUUCUGUGAGCCUGUGACCAUAGAAUUCAGUCUUGUGCUCCACAAACACAACUUGCAUUUUCUUAAAAAAAAAAAAGUGGCUAUGGUCCUUAGAUUUAUAUUUUUUUAAAAAGAUAAAUAAAAGACUUUGAAAUGAGUAUAAAACUGUUGAGCUAUUGAUUUUUCAA